GGGGGCGGUGGUCGGACGGGGCUGGGUCAUGGUGCCUCCCGGGCGCUGGGUGUCGUCCGGGUGCCCGCUCGGUUCCGUACGGGCACCCGCC
rnacentral:tRNA from 1 species